rnacentral:rRNA from 1 species
UACGUAGGUGGCGAGCGUUAUCCGGAAUGAUUGGGCGUAAAGGGUGCGUAGGCGGCCUGCUAAGUCUGGAGUGAAAGGUACCGGCUCAACCGGUACAGGCUCUGGAAACUGGCGGGCUAGAGAGCAGGAGAGGAGAGUGGAAUUCCAUGUGUAGCGGUGAAAUGCGUAGAUAUAUGGAGGAACACCGGUGGCGAAAGCGGCUCUCUGGCCUGUAACUGACACUGAGGCUCGAAAGCGUGGGGAGCAAACAGG